ACCGGGGCUUCGGCCCCGGGGACAGCGGCGAACGGGUGAGUAACACGUGGAUAACCUGCCCUCGGCACCGGAAUAGCCCGGGGAAACCCGGAUUAAUGCCGGAUAGCCCCACAUCCCUGCGGGGAACGUGGGAAAAGGUAGCUUCGGCCUCUGGCCGAGGAUGGGUCCGCGGUGGAUUAGCUUGUUGGUGCGGGUAAUGGCCCACCAAGGCGACGAUCCAUAGCUGGUCUGAGAGGACGAUCAGCCACACUGGGACUGAGACACGGCCCAGACUCCUACGGGAGGCAGCAGUGGGGAAUCUUGCGCAAUGGGCGAAAGCCUGACGCAGCGACGCCGCGUGAGGGAUGACGGCCUUCGGG
rnacentral:rRNA from 1 species